UAUAAAUGUAAAAUGAUUAUACUUAGGUAGUAAUAGUUAUAUUCUUGAAACUUAAAGAUUUUGGCGGUAUUUUAGUCUUUUCAGAGGAACCUGUUCUAUAAUUGAUAAUCCACGAUUAAUAUUACUUAUUUUAAUUAGUUUGUAUACCGUCGUUUAUAGAAGAUUUUAUUAGAAUAUAAAUUUUCAAUAAGUUUAAUAAAAAUUUAAAUCAGAUCAAGGUGCAGUUUAUAGAUAAGAAGAAAUGGGUUACAUUAAAUGUAUUUAUAUGGAUUAAUAAAUGAGAAUUUAUUAUGAAAGUGGAUUUGAUAGUAAUAUAAUUAAUUUAAAUUAUAUGAUUUUAGCUCUAAAAUAUGC
rnacentral:rRNA from 1 species